rnacentral:rRNA from 1 species
CAGUCGCCGCGGUAAUGCGAAGGGUGCAAGCGUUAAUCGGAAUUACUGGGCGUAAAGCGUGCGUAGGCGGUGAGUUAAGUCUGCUGUGAAAUCCCCGGGCUCAACCUGGGAAUGGCAGUGGAUACUGGCUCGCUAGAGUGUGUCAGAGGAUGGUGGAAUUCCCGGUGUAGCGGUGAAAUGCGUAGAGAUCGGGAGGAACAUCAGUGGCGAAGGCGGCCAUCUGGGACAACACUGACACUGAGGCACGAAAGCGUGGGGAGCAAACAGGAUUAGAUACCCCUGUAGUCCCUGUCUCUUAUAC